rnacentral:lncRNA from 1 species
ACCUGGACCAGGGCUUGGGGCUCGGGUUGACACGUGCACAAUUUGACCGUACCAAAUCCUAGUCGUGUGUUCGCACGUGCGAGGGGUGUCUUUGAACGCGUGUGUAGAAGGUUCGUCAUUGGAUAAAAGAGUUUUUGGAAGUUUAUUUUAGUCUUCUCCCGUCUUGAUUAACGUGAACUUUUUGGAGGGAUUUUUUAAAGUUUGUAACAACUGGCUGCCUGCCUGCAAAAUUCAGUACUCCGGUGAAGUACUACUAAAUCGCCUGCUUGAUGCUUGCC